UUCUAGCUUGCUAGAAGAUGACGAGCGGCGGACGGGUGAGUAAUACUUAGGAAUCUACCUAGUAGUGGGGGAUAGCUCGGGGAAACUCGAAUUAAUACCGCAUACGACCUACGGGAGAAAGGGGGCAGUUUACUGCUCUCGCUAUUAGAUGAGCCUAAGUCGGAUUAGCUAGAUGGUGGGGUAAAGGCCUACCAUGGCGACGAUCUGUAGCUGGUCUGAGAGGAUGAUCAGCCACACCGGAACUGAGACACGGUCCGGACUCCUACGGGAGGCAGCAGUGGGGAAUAUUGGACAAUGGGGGCAACCCUGAUCCAGCCAUGCCGCGUGUGUGAAGAAGGCCUUUUGGUUGUAAAGCACUUUAAGCAGUGAAGAAGACUCCGUGGUUAAUACCCACGGACGAUGACAUUAGCUGCAGAAUAAGCACCGGCUAACUCUGUGCCAGCAGCCGCGGUAAUACAGAGGGUGCAAGCGUUAAUCGGAAUUACUGGGCGUAAAGCGAGCGUAGGUGGCUUGAUAAGUCAGAUGUGAAAUCCCCGGGCUUAACCUGGGAACUGCAUCUGAUACUGUUAGGCUAGAGUAGGUGAGAGGAAGGUAGAAUUCCAGGUGUAGCGGUGAAAUGCGUAGAGAUCUGGAGGAAUACCGAUGGCGAAGGCAGCCUUCUGGCAUCAUACUGACACUGAGGCUCGAAAGCGUGGGUAGCAAACAGGAUUAGAUACCCUGGUAGUCCACGCCGUAAACGAUGUCUACUAGUCGUUGGGUCCCUUGAGGACUUAGUGACGCAGCUAACGCAAUAAGUAGACCGCCUGGGGAGUACGGCCGCAAGGUUAAAACUCAAAUGAAUUGACGGGGGCCCGCACAAGCGGUGGAGCAUGUGGUUUAAUUCGAUGCAACGCGAAGAACCUUACCUGGUCUUGACAUAUCUAGAAUCCUGCAAAGAUGCGGGAGUGCCUUCGGGAAUUAGAAUACAGGUGCUGCAUGGCUGUCGUCAGCUCGUGUCCUGAGAUGUUGGGUUA
rnacentral:rRNA from 1 species